UACAGAGGUGGCAAGCGUUGUUCGGAAUUACUGGGCGUAAAGCGCGUGUAGGCGGCUCUUCAAGUCAGGCGUGAAAGCCCCGGGCUCAACUCGGGAACUGCGCUUGAUACUGUCGAGCUAGAGUGUGGAAGGGGCGAUUGGAAUUCCGUGUGUAGCGGUGAAAUGCGUAGAUAUACGGAGGAACACCGGUGGCGAAGGCGGCAUCCUGGACCGGCAUUGACGCUGAGGCGCGAAAGCCAGGGGAGCAAACGGG
rnacentral:rRNA from 1 species